rnacentral:rRNA from 1 species
AUUGAACGCUGGCGGCUGGCCUAACACAUGCAAGUCGAACGAGUGGCGGACGGGUGAGUAAUGUAUGGGAACGUGCCUGAUGGCGGGGGCUAACUACUGGAAAAGGUAGCUAAUACCGCAUACCAUCAGAUGUGCCCAGAUGGGAUUAGCGAGUUGGUGGGGUAAAGGCUCACCAAGGCGACGAUCCCUAGCUGGUCUGAGAGGAUGACCAGCCACACUUGAACUGGGACACGGUCCAGACUCCUACGGGAGGCAUCAGUGGGGAAUCUUGUACAAUGGGCGCAAGCCUGAUACAGCCAUGCCGCGUGUAUGAAGAAGGCCUUCGGGUUGUAAAGUACUUUUGGCAGGGAGGCGUUACCCGCAGAAGAAGCACCGGCUAACUCCGUGCCAGCAGCCGCGGUAAUAC